GACGAACGCUGGCGGCGUGCUUAACACAUGCAAGUCGAACGGAAAGGCCCUGCUUUUGUGGGGUGCUCGAGUGGCGAACGCGUGAGUAACACGUGAGUAACCUGCCCUUGACUUUGGGAUAACUUCAGGAAACUGGGGCUAAUACAGGAUAGGAGCUCCUGCUGCACGGUGGGGGUUGGAAAGUUUCGGCGGUUGGGGAUGGACUCGCGGCUUAUCAGCUUGUUGGUGGGGUAGGGGCUUACCAGGGCUUUGACGGGUAGCCGGCCUGAGAGGGUGACCGGGCACAUUGGGACUGAGAGACGGCCCAGACGCCUACGGGAGGCAGCAGUGGGGAAUAUUGCACAAUGGGCGGAAGCCUGAUGCAGCAACGCCGCGUGCGGGAUGACGGCCUUCGGGGUGUAAACCGCUUUCGCCGGUGACGAAGCGGGAGUGACGGUAAUGGGUAAAGAAGCAACGGCUAACUACGUG
rnacentral:rRNA from 1 species